rnacentral:rRNA from 1 species
CUGCCCAGUGACUAAGGUUUAACGGCCGCGGUAUCCUAACCGUGCAAAGGUAGCAUAAUCACUUGCCUAUUAAUUGUAGGCUAGAAUGAACGGAUAAACGUAAUAAAUACUGUCUCAAUCAGCAUACUAAAAAUUAACUUUUGCAUGAAGAGUUGCAAAUAAAAUCGAAGGACAAGAAGACCCUAUAGAGCUUUAUUAUAAAUACAAAUAUUUUUGUAAGAUAAUUCGGUUGGGGCGACCUAGGGAAAACAAAAACACCCUAUUAUAUUAAAGAUAUUUAAAUCUAUGAACUGACCCUUUUUAAGCAUCAAAAAACAAGCUACCUUAGGGAUAACAGGCUAAUCCCAUUUCGGAGUCCAUAUCUACAAUGGGGUUUGGCACCUCGAUGUUGGCUUAAGGUAUCACUAUAGCGCAAAAGUUAUAUUUAGAUGGUUUGUUCAACCAGUAAUCCCUU